rnacentral:rRNA from 1 species
UACGAAGGGGGCGAGCGUUGUUCGGAUUUAUUGGGCGUAAAGAGCUCGUAGGCGGCUUGUUACGUCGGCUGUGAAAACUCACAGCUCAACUGUGGGCGUGCGGGCGAUACGGGCAGACUUGAGUACUGCAGGGGAGACUGGAAUUCCUGGUGUAGCGGUGGAAUGCGCAGAUAUCAGGAGGAACACCUAUUGCGAAGGCAGCUCGCUGGGACGUUACUGACGCUGAGACGCGAAAGCGUGGGGAGCAAACAGG